GACGAACGCUGGCGGCGUGCUUAACACAUGCAAGUCGAACGCUGAAGACCUGGCUUUUGUUGGGUUGGAUGAGUGGCGAACGGGUGAGUAACACGUGAGUAACCUGCCCUCUUCUUUGGGAUAACGCCCGGAAACGGGUGCUAAUACUGGAUAUUCACUGAUCUUCGCAUGGGGGUUGGUGGAAAGGUUUGUUCUGGUGGGGGAUGGGCUCGCGGCCUAUCAGCUUGUUGGUGGGGUGAUGGCCUACCAAGGCUUUGACGGGUAGCCGGCCUGAGAGGGUGACCGGUGACAUUGGGACUGAGAUACGGCCCAGACUCCUACGGGAGGCAGCAGUGGGGAAUAUUGCACAAUGGGCGAAAGCCUGAUGCAGCGACGCCGCGUGAGGGAUGGAGGCCUUCGGGUUGUAAACCUCUUUCGCUCAUGGUCAAGCCGCAACUGUGGGUUGUGGUGAGGGUAGUGGGUAAAGAAGCGCCGGCUAACUACGUG
rnacentral:rRNA from 1 species